GUGUCAGCAGCCGCGGUAAUACAGAGGGUGCAAGCGUUAAUCGGAAUUACUGGGCGUAAAGCGUGCGUAGACGGUUAUGUAAGUCGGGUGUGAAAGCCCCGGGCUCAACCUGGGAAUGCCAUUCGAGACUGCAUAGCUAGGGUGCGGAAGAGGGAAGCGGAAUUUCCGGUGUAGCGGUGAAAUGCGUAGAUAUCGGAAGGAACACCAGUGGCGAAAGCGGCUUCCUGGUCCAGCACCGACGUUCAGGCACGAAAGCGUGGGGAGCAAACAGGAUUAGAAACCCCCGUAGUCC
rnacentral:rRNA from 1 species